rnacentral:tRNA from 1 species
UGGUGUGCAGCUCGAUUGGCCGAGCACGCGGCUGUUAACCGUGAGGUUGUGGGUUCGAGGCCCACCGCACCAGCCA